UACAGAGGGUGCAAGCGUUGUUCGGAAUUAUUGGGCGUAAAGCGCGCGCAGGCGGUCCUUUAAGUCUGAUGUGAAAGCCCACGGCUCAACCGUGGAGGGUCAUUGGAAACUGGGGGACUUGAGUACAGAAGAGAAGAGUGGAAUUCCACGUGUAGCGGUGAAAUGCGUAGAGAUGUGGAGGAACACCAGUGGCGAAGGCGACUCUUUGGUCUGUAACUGACGCUGAGGCGCGAAAGCAUGGGGAGCGAACGGG
rnacentral:rRNA from 1 species